rnacentral:rRNA from 1 species
GACAGAGGGUGCAAACGUUGUUCGGAAUUACUGGGCGUAAAGCGUGUGUAGGCGGCCAGACAAGUCGGAUGUGAAAGCCCCUGGCUCAACUGGGGAAGUGCACCCGAAACUGAAGUGGCUUGAGUGCGAAAGAGGGUCGCGGAAUUCCCGGUGUAGAGGUGAAAUUCGUAGAUAUCGGGAGGAACACCGGUGGCGAAGGCGGCGACCUGGGUCGACACUGACGCUGAGGCGCGAAAGCGUGGGGAGCAAACAGG